AUGUAAGUUUUUGCGUGGAUUUUUGUUUAUUUUAAUAAUAAUUAAAUUUUAUAGAAACCUCAGUAAUUAAUUUUAAUAAUUAAGGAGACUUAGAAUUAGUAAUUUCUUAAAGCAUUGGCUAAAUUUGUGCCAGCAGCCGCGGUUACACGAAUAAUGCGAGUAAAAUUAGUUCAAUGUAAGUUAAAUUUUAUUUACUUGAAUAAAUAUAAAUUUAUUAGGUGAAAUUUUAAAUUUAUUUAUUUUAUAAUUUAUUUAAUUGAAGCUUGUAAAUUUUAGUAAUAAACUAGGAUAGAUACCCUAUUAUUUAAAAUGUAAAAUUAAACAUUAAGGUAGUAGUAGUUAUGUUCUUGAAACUUAAAAAAUUUGGCGGUAUUUUAGUCUAUUCAGAGGAACCUGUCCUGUAAUUGAUAAUCCACGAUGUACCUUACUUAAAUUUGUUUUUCAGUUUAUAUACCGUCGUUAGCAGAAUAUUUUAUAAGAACAAUAAUUUUCAACAAUUUAUAUUAAAUUUUAUAUCAGAUCAAGGUGUAGCUAAUGUUUAAGAAGAGAUGGGUUACAAUAAAUUUAUUUAUGCGGAUUUAAAUGUGAAAUAUUUAAUUAAGAUGGAUUUGAUAGUAAAUUUUUAUAGAUUAAAAAAUUGAUUUUAGCUCUAAAAUAUGUACACAUCGCCCGUCGCUCUUAUUAUUAAGGUAAGAUAAGUCGUAACAUAGUAGAUGUA
rnacentral:rRNA from 1 species